UACGAAGGGGGCUAGCGUUGCUCGGAAUCACUGGGCGUAAAGGGUGCGUAGGCGGGUCUUUAAGUCAGGGGUGAAAUCCUGGAGCUCAACUCCAGAACUGCCUUUGAUACUGGCGAUCUUGAGUCCGGGAGAGGUGAGUGGAACUGCGAGUGUAGAGGUGAAAUUCGUAGAUAUUCGCAAGAACACCAGUGGCGAAGGCGGCUCACUGGCCCGGGUACUGACGCUGAGGUGCGAAAGCGUGGGGAGCAAACAGG
rnacentral:rRNA from 1 species